UGGCGGACGGGUGAGUAAUGUCUGGGAAACUGCCCGAUGGAGGGGGAUAACUACUGGAAACGGUAGCUAAUACCGCAUAACGUCGCAAGACCAAAGAGGGGGACCUUCGGGCCUCUUGCCAUCGGAUGUGCCCAGAUGGGAUUAGCUAGUAGGUGGGGUAACGGCUCACCUAGGCGACGAUCCCUAGCUGGUCUGAGAGGAUGACCAGCCACACUGGAACUGAGGCACGGUCCAG
rnacentral:rRNA from 1 species